rnacentral:rRNA from 1 species
GAAUAUUGCACAAUGGGCGAAAGCCUGAUGCAGCGACGCCGCGUGGGGGAUGAAGGCCUUCGGGUUGUAAACCCCUUUCAGCAGGGAAGAAGCGAAAGUGACGGUACCUGCAGAAGAAGCGCCGGCUAACUACGUGCCAGCAGCCGCGGUAAUACGUAGGGCGCAAGCGUUGUCCGGAAUUAUUGGGCGUAAAGAGCUCGUAGGCGGUCUGUCGCGUCUGCUGUGAAAACCCGAGGCUCAACCUCGGGCCUGCAGUGGGUACGGGCAGACUAGAGUGCGGUAGGGGAGACUGGAAUUCCUGGUGUAGCGGUGGAAUGCGCAGAUAUCAGGAGGAACACCGAUGGCGAAGGCAGGUCUCUGGGCCGCAACUGACGCUGAGGAGCGAAAGCAUGGGGAGCGAACAGG